CUUUGGCAGACCAAGGCAAAUGGGGAAAUUGUUGUCUUCUUCAGUGCCUUUCCCAAGGGCUUUUUUUCUUUUUUUUUUUUCUUUCUUUUUUUUUUUUUUUCUUCCUGAUUGGAGUAGAGGCAUUUAACCUUUGUUUUACACCACUGCCAGCUUUUCAUCCAGCACAGAGAGGAAUGGAGGGGGAAGUUUGAGCUUCAACAGUGAGGAAAAAGGAGCACCUGCGGGAGUCAUGAAUGGGCAAGUACACCAAGCCUGGAGAGCAGAACCUGAUGUGGCAUGACUUGACUGUCCUGUAAAGGCAUCACAAAUUUCAACAUGUUACUUAACCACAAUGAGUCCUACUCACUCAGAGGUUUUCAUGUUCUGUCUACUUCGGACUCCAAAACUCAAGAUCCACACAACACAACAACAACAAAAGUGAACUUCAAAUUGCGCUGUACAGCCCAUAUCAAGCAUGAAAGUGCAGAGCCCCAGAAUGUCAAGGACUCAAUUAGAGGAAGAAGAAAUCUUCAAGGACACAGACUAAAAUGGGAACAAAAUAAAAAGCAGAGGGACAUAAAAAGCAGUGAAGAAGAAGCCACCAACAAGACCAAAACUUGGUACAGACAAUAAGUUUUCUAUGCUCCCAGUGGAAACGAAAUGGAAAAAUUGUUGGCAACUUGCAGAACUACCUCCUUACCCUGGACAAAAUAGAGGAAAACACAAAGUUAUACUUCUGUUGCAGACACCGAAAUGUAUUACUGCACAGCAACUUGAAACUCAGUGACUGAAUGCUGUAUGAUUCUAGGGUAAGUAGCUUGGAGCAGAAAUGUAUUCUAACGGCAAGAGGAUCACAAAGCAACAGGCUCUGUAAUGACCAGCAUGCACUUGAUAGGAUUUGCUUCACUUGUUUGCAUUUUCAAAGCAUCAUAGAAUGGCUUGGGUUGGAAGGGAUCUGAAGUAUCAUCAAGUUCCAACAUCCCUGCUGCAGGCAGGGCUGCCAUCGACCAGCCCAGACUGCCUAGGGCCCCAUGCAAUAUGGCCUUGAAUGUCUCCAGGGGACAGGGCAUCCAUAGCUUCUCUGGGCAGUCUGUGCCAGCCUCAACUUUUUUGAUAUAGAGUUGGUUGAUGAGGGUCUAGUAUAACUGAUAACUGAAUCAGGAUUUAGUAUCCUGGAGUCAGGCAUCUUGGACCAAGUUGCAAUAUAUCUGUUGUCAGAAUGAAUUUUAUCUCAUUAGUUACCACUCAGAUGUUGUUAUUUGUAUUUGAAUCACACAUUUCUUUGAUUUACGCUAGUGCAAUAAUAGAUUCUCUUAUCUGCAUUAAUGGUUGCUCUGCUGGAUGUCUUCACACUACAUAAGAUUUUCUUCAAUUUACUCUCACACAUAAAAUCAACACGAAGACAGACAUUCUUUUGUUUGCCAAGGCCAUCAGUAGGGAUUCUGAAAUUGAGGGAAAAUAAGAAAAGAUUUUCUUUGUGUGUUUCUGUAUUUUCUUAGUUACUUAAGAAGGAGAUUCCUUAAAGAAUGCAACAAAG
ensembl:lncRNA